rnacentral:rRNA from 1 species
AUGGAAAUCCAGGACGUAGUAGAACAUGAGCCCCCGGACAAAGGGGUGAAGUGGGAAGCCCAGUCCGCGGAGGAAGUGGUUGAGGAACACCACCCUCUCAUGGGGCCUAGGGGUGGGGAUGAGUUGCCCCUCAUUUGGGAGCCAGUGCGCGAUGUCGUUAGACAAGUAUCCGGCUUUCCUCAACUUUCUGAUGUGCCCCUCUGUGAUGGUGGAGGCCAUCCAUCUACCUCCCGCUCCGGACAUGAUUGGAGAAGGUUGAGGUGGGAAGUGCGGACUUGGGCGCUGGAGCUCGAGUGCGCGGAAAUGGAUAAGCAAAAGAGGAAGAAGGCGUAG